AUACAAAAAAAUAGUUUUUUUAUUAACAAAAGUAAAUAACGUAACAAACGAAUUUGCUACAAGACAAACUCUAGACAUCUCUCUUCUAACUCACAUUUUCUCUCUUUUAUAAGCACUAAUUCACAUAACACAUUGAAACAGAGAAAAAAUAAAAGAACAGAAAAGGAGAAGUGGCAGAGAAUGGAACGAAGAAGAAAGAAGGAGAGGAGGAAGAUGUGGUGUCGAAGAGAUUGAGGAUCGCCGGCGUGGUCGACGCAAAAGGAUGAGAGAGACAAAAUUAGAGAGAGAGAGAGAGAGACUUCAGGUGAAGAAGACGCGACGGAAGAGAGGAAGGAGAGGUUGGGUUGUUCCCGCCGCUGGUGCCGAUUGAACUGCAGCCAUAUCAUUGGGUUCCAAGGAAGAGAGAGCUUGCCGGAGGGAGUCCACUGGGAAGAGUGAGAAACGAGACAAGGAGGGGGUCUUCCUUGCUGGUGCCGUCAUUGUUGAGUCAUGCGUCCUCCAUUGCGUUCUUCUUUCUUCUUUAUCCUAAGAUCUUCUCUUCUUUUUACGUGCUUUUCACUUCUUGUUAAUGGUUGUUGUGUUGUAGUGGUUGUUGGUUGUUGACUUAUUGUGCAGUAAUUUUUAGUAUUGGACAAAGAAAAACACGAAGUUUCGGUAGCAACGGUGGCCAUGGCACUGCAAAAGUAGAGGGAUGGAGGCUGAGAGGAGUGAUUUUAAGACUAGGUUGUGAUUAAUUUGGAAAAUAGAGUCCUAUUCCUAUUAGGAUUAGGGUUUGAAAUUAAAGAAUUAAAUUAAAAAUUUAAAGUUUUUUAUAAAUUGGGGAUUAAAUGUAAAACGGGCUACAUAGGCCAUUUCGUUUGCCACGUCGUUAUAAAACGUUAACGAACCACUUUUUUUUUUUUUGUACGGACUUGCAGUUUUGACAUUUUUUAUUUUAAUUAAGGAUAUUUUUAUCUAUAAUAAAAGUAGAAGUUAUUUUUGUCAUAGUCAGAAUAUAUAUUUUAUGGUUAAAUUUUUACUUUGGUUUCUGAAAUUCAAGUGAUUAUUCAUUUUGAUCCUCGAAAUUUAAAAUUAUCUAGGGUUGGGCUACACAUACAAGCUUACAAGUUGGUCCAGCCCAAACACAAGUCACGUGCAUCAACACAGAUUACAUGGAGCGUCACUUCACGCGCUCAACACAAACGGUUAC
rnacentral:lncRNA from 1 species